GUUGAACGCUGGCGGCAUGCCUAAUACAUGCAAGUCGAACGCUGAAGGAGGAGCUUGCUCUUCUGGAUGAGUUGCGCACGGGUGAGUAACGCGUAGGUCACCUGCCUGGUAGCGGGGGAUAACUAUUGGAAACGAUAGCUAAUACCGCAUGACAACAGUUAUUGCAUGAUAACUGUUUAAAAGGGGCAACUGCUCCACUACCAGAUGGACCUGCGUUGUAUUAGCUAGUUGGUGGGGUAACGGCUCACCAAGGCGACGAUACAUAGCCGACCUGAGAGGGUGAUCGGCCACACUGGGACUGAGACACGGCCCAGACUCCUACGGGAGGCAGCAGUAGGGAAUCUUCGGCAAUGGGCGGAAGUCUGACCGAGCAACGCCGCGUGAGUGAAGAAGGUUUUCGGAUUGUAAAGCUCUGUUGGAAGGGAAGAACGGGUGUAAGAGUGGAAAGUGCACACUGGGACGGUAUCAUAGCAGAAAGGGACGGCAAACUACGG
rnacentral:rRNA from 1 species